GGCCAAUUAUUUUUUGUAGAGGAGCUCUUUCUGGAUCUUUGAAUGAUUCUUUUAAAAACAUACAGUAUUACCUGGGCAUGAUGGCUUGUACCUUUAAUCACAGCUACUCAGGAGGCUGAGGUGAGAAGAUCACUUAAGCCCAGGAGUUUGAGGUAGCAGUGAGCUAUGAGCAUCACUGCACUCCAGCCUGGGCAAUAUAUAAUACACACACACACACACACACACACGCAUACACACACAAUAUUAUGUUAUGUUACCUAGCAUACAAUAUCUUCUCUCAUCUCUUUGAAGGUGACAGUGAUACUUUAUUUACU
rnacentral:lncRNA from 1 species